UACGGAAGGCAGCAGUGGGGAAUAUUGCACAAUGGGCGCAAGCCUGAUGCAGCCAUGCCGCGUGUAUGAAGAAGGCCUUCGGGUUGUAAAGUACUUUCAGUCGUGAGGAAGGUGUUAAGGUUAAUAACCUUAGCAAUUGACGUUAGCGACAGAAGAAGCACCGGCUAACUCCGUGCCAGCAGCCGCGGUAAUACGGAGGGUGCGAGCGUUAAUCGGAAUUACUGGGCGUAAAGGGCACGCAGGCGGUUAAUUAAGUUGGAUGUGAAAUCCCCGGGCUUAACCUGGGAAUGGCAUUCAAGACUGGUUAGCUAGAGUCUUGUAGAGGGGGUAGAAUUCCAUGUGUAGCGGUGAAAUGCGUAGAGAUGUGGAGGAAUACCGGUGGCGAAGGCGGCCCCUGGGACAAAGGACUGACGCUCGAUGUGCGAAAGCGUGGGGAGCGAAACAGGGAUUAGAUACC
rnacentral:rRNA from 1 species